rnacentral:tRNA from 1 species
AGCAGCGUGGCUUAGUGGCGAGAGCCUGGGUUGGGAAGUCAUUCAUUCAUUCAUUCAAUAGUAUUCAAUUCGUGGCCUUGGGUUCGAAUCCCGACUCUGCCA